CGAUGAGGUAGAGGUCGCAGUUUUUAAUAGUAAAGCAACGGAAAUGCAGAGAACAUUGAGGAUGUUGCUUGAAAGGAAAAAUUGCCGAAGUUUAGAUCACUUCUCGGUUGAUUUAAGCUGGGGCUGUCUCCGAACAGGAACAGAACUGUCACAUCAUGCAAGUGAUGUGAAGAGCUAUCUUCACG
rnacentral:ncRNA from 3 species